rnacentral:lncRNA from 1 species
ACCACGGAAAGCUGCUUUUCAUCGCCGUGCUUGGCGGAUUCACGUGGAAAUGUGAGGGAGGCAAGUACUACGCCCUUGUCAUUGAAAAUCAGGAUUAUGAGGGCGCCACAUUUAUCCAUAAAGCACUUGUUGUUGAGGCCCCAGGUGAAACGAAACUCCUCUGGCACAAGAAUUAAUCAAGCACUACUAUUGAUCAGCUGAGGAUCAAGCAUUACUAUUGAUCAGCUGAGCAUUACUAGUGUCUAUGGUGUGGUUUUCAGUUUAUGCAUGGAUGAUGUACUGCUGCCAUGCAUACAUCUUUCCAGUAUUGUACUAGCAUCUUUCCAUCAUUCCGUUUGUAUUUGAGUUUGUAUCCUUGUAUGUUAAAAGGUGCACUUAUACGGACAAAAAUGCACCAUUAAAUGAAUAAAAACGGCUGUUUGUUUUUGAGUUCGUAUCUGUGUAUUUUGUUUCUCUGUUACUUCGAAGCAGGUUCCAAUCCCUGAAUUUGUAUGUCAACUACAAAAUCUGCUAUAUUCAUGACCAGUUAUAAAUUUUGAUAACUGGUUAAGUGUUACUUAAAAUGGAUCCAAACCCGAAAGGGAUAUGAAAGAUUAAUUGAUAUAUUGAGAGCAAGACAUGCCGAUUACGUUUUGGUUUUCUCAAGUGGUACUCGUUCUUCUUUGUAAGUUUAUUUUGGGUGUUCUUCAAAAAUACGAAAACUGUUCAGGCCAGCAAGUUUAACAUAAGCAGUAGUUGUUUCUUGACCCUUUAACGGUUAAAUGUGGCAAGACCACGACGAAUAAUCACAAGUGUUGCAGGGUUUUCUUAUCAAGUUUUUCCAGUUUGGGUUGGCCGUAGGAAAAUUUCCUUUUUCCAACAUCAUGUCAGGGCAUUGCAACUCAGAUUCUGUCUUUUGGAUGAAUAAAUUCCCUUCUCAUGGUGGCAGGCUGCUUUGCAUCAAGCACAUGCUUUCAUCCAUUCCUAUUCAUGUCCUAGCUGCAGCUAAUCCUCCUAAAUCUGUUUUUAAUAUGAUAGAAUCUAUCUGUGCUAGAUUUUUUCUUGGGUUCCUCAGAGGAGGAAAGGGACACGCCUAAGGAUGGCAGCCCCUGCGGGGGGCCAUUGGGGCGGGGGAGCGGGGGAUAUUAUCAAUUUUACCCCCGCCUUGCCAACCGUUUGAAAAAAAAAACAGAUAUAUAUAUAUGUACAUAAUUAUAUAUAUAAUGAUAAUAUCAAUUAUAUUACUAAUUAUACAUGUCUAUUAAUAAAAAUUAUUAAUUAUUCAUAUUAAAUUUAUUAAUAUAUUUAUAUUAAAUUUCUAACUACACUUAAUACAAUAACACUUUUUUCUAAAAAAACCACAAAGUAAUUUAGUGAUUAUAUUUGUAUCAAAAGUGAAAACUUGAUUAUUUUAGUUAUAUUUGUUUUAUCAUAUUAGAUUGUAUUCAAAUAACCUUUGUUUAAUUAUUUUUAUGAGUUUCAAUUGUGAAGUUACAAUGAAUAAUAAUUUGGUGAUGUGUUAAUAUUUUAGUACUUGAUUAUUUGCUCAAAUUUAAUUAUAAUAAAAUUAUAUAAUAAAAAAAAUUUUAACCCCACCGGUACCCCCCGCGGGGAAGCGGGGCGGGAGACGGGGCGGGGGUUGGGGGAGGUGUCCCCCGCCCCAUCCCCCCAUUGCCACGCCUAGAGACGCUAGUUUCUAACUCGGAAUGGUCCUAGUUCCUUCACUGCUCCAGCUUCCAGAGCAGAGAAGUCAGGCCCUGCCAUCACCAAAUUAAGAACAUGUUUCCUUGAAAUGCCCAUUGAGAGUGCUUUCUAGGUUCAACCAAAAACGAUUCUCUCGGUUCCAUUAAAAAUAUCAUACCUUUUAUUUUGGAAUGUUUCAAAAUAUUUGUCACAUUGAAAAUGUUAGAUUACCUUUUAGUCUCUUUUUUUUAAUAUAGCUCUUCUUUCUAAUCAUAAGCAUGAUAUCAUUAAAUUUUAAAUUUUAAAUUUGUGGAGGGUAAAAUUAGAAAGAGAAGUAUAAACAUCACAAUUAAACCAUUAAUUUUUAAAAAGUUAGAUUUCUCAAACAUGACCUUUUUUUUUAAUACAAAUAUCGAGAUUUUAUUGCCUGUAACACAAACUUACAAACGAAGUAUAGGCCAGUCACGUAGACGACCUUUUGAAAAAUCAGAAAGAUGGAAGCCCUAAUUUAUCCAACCUGACUGCCUCUCUUGCUAGCUGUGGCAAGUGAUUUGGUUGGUCAUAAACCCUAAUCGAAUCAUAUGGGUGCAAGAGACCCUCAUUAGCGAGUAUGUCUGCCACCGUGUUUGCUUCUCUAAAGCAGUGAGAGAACUGCCCUGGAUCCUCAGCCAGCUACCAUAUUUGGUCAAACAUGACUAAAUAAUUGAAACGGAGCGAGUAAUAAAAACAAUAAAUAUACCUCCAUUUAGCCAUAAUACAAGAGGCUUGUUAGAAGGAUUUUCGAACUCCGCAAAAUAGUAGAAGAGAGCUUUACUAGUCUUAGGAUCAACAGUAACAUACCCCGAGAGUCCGUUUGGUUACAAACUAGAUGAAAUGGGAUGACUUAUCCUUGGAUUAUUAAUCCUGGGUUUGAGUCAUCUUCGGAUAAAUAAUCUAAAUUAUCUAAUGUUUAGUUGAUUCUCUGUUGGAUAGGAUAUAUUGUAAAAUAAUUCUAUCCUGUGUUUGGUCGAAAAUUGGAUGAGGAAGGAUUACUAUUUUAAUGACCAAAGCGUCCCUUAAUUUAUAGAUUCUUUUUAAUAAAACAAUUUAAUAUUUUAUAAAAUAUUAAUAAAAUAAUUUAAUAUUAUUUACUAAAAUAAUCUAAUAAAUAAUUUAAUAUUUAUAAAUUUUAUUAAAAUAGAGUAGUUCAAAACUUUAUAAUUAUAAUGUAAAUCAAGAAUUUUGAUGUAUAAAAAUUCGAAUUUAUUUAAAUUUAGCCCCUUCGAGCCCUUAAAAACAGAUUUUGACCAAGCUUUAACCCUUUUGGUUGCCCCGGCAAUGCUACUACUUUGUCGGCCGCCUUCCAAACCCUCUUGAGGACCAAUAUAAACUGGCGUGUUCUCAUGUCCGCAAUCCUCAUCAUUUACGUAAUUGUCUAAUUGUUCGGUGUCAGAACCACCAAAAAUAAAAUUCUUACUCCAAAAAGAUAUACUUUUGAAUACAAUGGUGAGUAAAGUCAAAAAUAAUAAUGUAAAAUUAAAUUAAAUUAAAUUAAUAAAAGACAAAUAUAUAGUCAAAGGUCUAAUCUCCAUUUUGGUUCAAUUAACUAAUCAUUGAUAUAAGGAUAAAAUUAUUUAUUUAUAAAUAAACUAAUUAUGGUUAUCAAUAAAUUUUAACAACCUACCUUUCCUUACUAUUCUUGAUAACUACAUUAAACUCUGUGAUGAUUACUCUUGCCAAUUAAGCAAACCUAAACAAAUUCUUAGGAUUUAAUGUAUUGACAAUAUUAAUUAUUAUAGAAGCUACUAGUUCUAACUAAUAAAGACAUGAGUUCCGUUUAUUUAGGCUAGAUUAUAUAUUUUUGUGACCUAUAUUCAAAAAUUUUACUACAAUCAAAAUAUAUCACUUGUCAUAAAUACUAAAAUCAUCAAACAAUUACAUAUUUGACGAUUUAGAUGGCAGUAGAGUAUUUCGACAAUUAAGUAGUGCCCAAUUAUUUAAUCAAAUAAAAUAAUCAUAUCAGGAACGGUAAAUACUUAUAAAUAAAUUAGAUAUCACGAUAAACCAAAAUUUUGAUUAUCCUUCAACUAGAAAAAAAUUUCAGCCACUCUUCAUGGUGGAUUUGAAAACUAGGGUUUAUUGGAGGAAAAAUACAAAGAAAAAGAAAAGAGAGAAACGGCAGGAAAGCAAAAGAGAGGAGGUCCCUUGCUUCUGGUUCCUUCCGUCCAAAUUUAAAAAAAAAAAAAACUACCGUUCUUCAAAGUCAUAACGACUAGUCUCAAUAGCACUUACCGUUCUCCAGAAGUCAUAACUACUAAUCUAAAUAGCACCAACGUUUCCUGCCACUAAAGGAAAAUGAUUCCUUUUGCUAAUGUAACUCUGACAAAUACUAAAACUAAUAAAUAUGACAAAAAAAUAUAGUUCCUAACAUAAUCAACAACUUUAUAAGCAAAUAAAGAUUUAUUUUGUCACAACGGUAGAAAUCUUAUAACAUAAUCUAGUCUAAUCUAAGGAAAGGAAAAAGGGAAUUCGAUGUGAGUAAUAACUUCAUCGAAGAUAGCCAAUUAAGACCACCAUAUAUAAUGACAAAUUGAUGGGAGGUAAAAAUUGAACCCUUAACCUCCUGCACGCACCAAAACUGGUGGUGAGAAGCGUUUCCAUCAAUCAGCACAAGUAGGCCUGUCAACGGGUCGGGUCUAGACCCGGAUCCGGACCGGAUCCGUGAAAUUAUUGUGGGUAUGGGUAGGGAUUUAAUUCCGUUUCCCGGAUCCGGAUCCGGAUCCGUUUUGUCAAACAAAAAAACGGGUCGGAUACGGAAUAUAGUAUUCCGACCCGUAUUAGACCCGGAUCCGGAUAUAAAUGAAUUAAUAAUUUAAAAUAUAUAUAUUUAUAAAUAUAAUUUGAUUAGGGUGAUAUAUUUUAAUAAAGUUAAUUUGAUUUCUUUUCUUAUUUGGUUUUUUCUUUGCAUUAGUUAGAAAUUAGUUUACAAAUAUAUUUUUUUCUCAUUUUUAUUAGAAAUUAUAAAUUUUGGUAAAUUUGUUCGGAUAGACCCGGAUCCGGAUCCGGGACCCGCCGGAUCCGGAUCCGGAACAUAGAAUAAAAGACCCGUCGGGUAAACGGGUCGGAUCCGGAUCCGGCACAGUAAUUCGGGUCCGGGUCCGGAAUAAUGAAUUCCGGCCCGGACCCGGCCCGUUGACAGCCCUAAGCACAAGUUCCAAAUUGUGGGGCUCGCUUCACUUGAGAGCAGAAAAAGAUGUGGCCUAAACUGUGGGGUUCGCUUCCAAUCCCUCCAAAUUUGGACUUCACAUCAAAUAAGAUGUGGUGGCAUCUUGUAAAGUCUAGUCUUCUGAAAAUUUAAUUUUUAAUAUACUUUCCACUCUAAUUUCAUCAUAAAUUCCUAGCAAUAACACCAAAAAUGAUAUAUGUAUAAAAUGUAAUGAUUAACACCACAUCUUGGCAAAAUAAAAUGAGAAAUAUUCACAAAUUAAGCGCAAGAUUAACCAUCUGAGACUAAUCCUUUUGACAUGUUGCCUGGAGAAAUUUUUUGAGUCUCUCUCGACCUUUUCCCUGGUAACAUCGUACAAAUAUAAGCAGGCUUAUGAGGGUUAGAGAGAAGAUGGGUGUGCGCCCUUCAUCCUUGACAUAUAGGUCUAUAACCUGUGAACAAAUUGUUUCACCCUCCCACCAUAUUUUCACAGGUUGUUUCACCAAAACAACUGAUCACCUCCUGCCAUUUAAUGAAUGGCUUUCGCUUUCAAAUUAAUCGAAAUGAAUUUAUCUCCACGCCUUGCAUUUUGAACUCGAUUUGGCAUUUGACACGUUCACGCAGACACAAGACAAACUCGAUUCUCAAGCCAAGAAAAGAUCUCGAUUUCUUACUAAAGGCAUAAGACAACGAAGACCAAGACGUGAAGAAGGGUGUCAAAAGGCAGACGAGGAUGAUAAGGUUAUCAAGACUCUGCCACCUGUUAACAACCAUCUUGCCAUUCAAGUUUCAGGAUCAGAAUCUAUGCAUGGCAUAAGUCGCUAUUUGAUUUUAAUUAUUAACCAAGAAAUUUGAAGCAAAUUGAUCUGGUUUCUCUGAAUUCUUGUCCAUUAGGAGUCCUAAUUUAGGACCACCAAAUUUGGCCAAGGCAAUUAAAACGUGCCUUUGUUGCAAUCUUCUCAAGAUAAAUUAGUGAACUAAUUGUUUUGGUGACGAUUGCAGCCCAUUUCCUUUUCCUCUAAAGUGUAUUUUUCAUUUUUGAGGAGCCAUUAGUCUGCCUUUUUAAAUUUUUUUUCUUCUUUGUUAUCUCUAAACUGUCUGAAUUUUAUUAUGCUACUUCUGUAUUUGCGUAGAUAUUUGAACUACGAAUCAUUUCAUUGAUUAGGGGUAGAAUUAUUGCUUUUGCACGGACCACGAUAAAAAACUAUGAGUUAUUUAUACUUUUCUUAGCUAAAAGCAUACCAAAUAAUUAAUUAGCUUCCUCAAAAAUAGAAGGUUACUUAGCUAAGAUUAAAAAAAUGAAGAAAUAGUAGAACAAAAUUUUUAAAAAAAAAUAGUGGAAAAUAGACCAAAAUAAAAGGAAAAGGCCAUGAUAUGUUGGUCCAUAUUUUCACUGGGAACCCAUGGUCACAAGAUCCAAGCCCAUUUGAAUCCUACCUAUUUUUUUUUCCUCAUGCUCAAGGGCUUUGAAGGCUUGGUGUAAGUUUGUUUGUAGCCCAACCCGCCUAUGGGCUGUAAAAUGAAUGCUACAUUUUUUUUGUGUCUUCCUCCUCUUAUUAAUAGUUUCCGAAUUGGGUUAUCUCAAGAUUUAUUCUGUUUUCCUUUUAUUCUUUCCCAACUAGGUUUUUUCAUAUGAAACCGCACAGAACAAGCUACAUAUUCAGAUUUUUUUAGGCAAUAUGAAACUUUUUAUUGAUAUAUCAAAAAAUUCAUACACAAUUUUCUCUUUAGCAUAAGUGAGAGAUGUCAAAUUAAGAAGUUUUCACACUUUCUCCUCCUAUACUACCCGACCUAUCGAUCUCACAAUUUUUUUUUAGUAUUUGUAAGUGGAAAAACAACUAAAUUACAUCAGGGAAAGCCUAUACUAUAUAAUUUCUAUAGAUAUACAAUGUCAGAUGUGCUAUGACAAGCGCGAGAUAUGCAUAUAACACAACUAUAUCCAUGAUCAAUGAAAUUUGCGACUGCAUCAUGAGUAUUGAAACAGCAAUUCCUUAACGGGGUGGUCAGAAAACUUCAUAUAUAAAGGUCCAACUGGGUGCUAAUUGUCGUACCAAAAACUUCAGUGCUCACCAUUGCCAAUAAUUUGCUUAAUAUGCAGCUGAGCCAUUCCUCUAAGCUUCAACAGUUUCCUCCAGCUCUAAGAACAAUCACUAGGAGUCUUAAUCCCUCAAUAGACUGUCUUUAAGCAUAAUAGAAUGUACCCUUUUAACCAUAAUGACUCUUUUCGAGCACAAAUGUUCCACAGUAACUUCCAGGCACUUAUUCUUUUUUUUUCCGAAACGAUAUUAGUAAUAUAUUGAUCAACAUCUAAACUUUACAUUUGGGGCAAAGGCCCCUCAUUUCUUUACAAAAGUGCUCAACAGCACAGAGGAUUGAACCAUUCCUCAUCAUGUAUAAUGCCUAAUGCAUAAUCUCCAACUCUAAUGCUAAUAUGAUUAUCAACUUUAGAUAUUGCACAAAAAGAGCACAUGUGAAACAGGGCUUUCAGGCUAAGAAUAUCAUCAACUAGAGUAUACAGUUUGAUAUUGGAAGCUCUUCCGGAACAGAUUUCCUGAAUGAGUUGCUUGUUGCAGCUCUGUAUGAUGACUUUCCUCCAGCCUUUGACUGCUAAUUUACUCAUAGCUAGCUUGAUAGCCUCAGCUUCGUCCAAUUGUGGACAAUUGUAGCUUCUUUCAUGCAUUGCCCAAGCCGCCACCACAACAUUUCCUUCUGUCAUAGCAGUCACCCCUAUUCCCACCUCUUUACUGUUCGGUUUUCUUAGAGCUGCAAUCUUCACUUGGAUCACCUCUGCAUUCUCCGCUUCUAUUCGUUGAAUCUGGUUAGCAGCUGUUUCUACUGUGCUCAACUGCUCUUUGUCUUUAUACACUUCGCAGAACUCUAACCACUCCUCUUGAGCUUUCUGAAUUGUUGUCAUAGCAUGCCUUUGUUUGUUGUUGAAUUCCCACUCAUUCCUGCUUUUCCAUACUUGCCAUAAGAUAUUCACUGUUAGACCAAGAUGUUCAUCACCAGCCUGUCUAGAUCUGGCUCCUGCAAUUUCAUUCCACCAGUCCUUGAAACAGCCUUGUUUAUCCCUAGCACCCUCCCAUUGCACUGGUGCUAUAUGCCAUACUAGCUUGGCCUGUCUGCAGUUCAGGAGCGCAUGGUCCACAGUCUCCACCCCUUCUUCACAGACUUUACAGAUGGGAUCUCCUUUUUGCGUUCUACUAAAGAUUACUUCAUUGACUGGGAGAGCAUUGUUGAUGCAUUUCCACAUGAAGGUCUUUAGUUUGUGCUUGAUGUUUAAAUUCCAUAGGCAAGACCACAUCUGUUUUGAUGAACUGUGUAGGCUUGUACCUGCCCCAUCAUAGCCAUUCCUUUCCUGGAUUUCCUUCUCUUUCAUAAGUACCUUGUAGCCUGUGUUCACUGUGUAUUGCCCCGUUGGAGAAUGUAUCCAGAAAUUGCUAUCCUCCUUUCCUGCUAAGCUGAUAGGAAUGCUUAAGAUCUUUUCUGCAUCCCUGCCAUUGAACGUUCGAAGCACUACCACUGUAUUCCAUCUCUUAUGAGUGAUUAGGUCCUGAACUUUCUGCACUUUGCAUUUUGGAGGUUUAGUUGUUGAGGGUCUUCCAUCUUUGUUUCCUACUAUCCACUUAUCCUCCCAAAUAUCAGUACUAAGACCAUUUCCAAUUUUCCUCCAGGUGUCUUCCUCAACCUGCUGCGUAGCUCCCAUUAGACUCUGCCAGAUCCAGGAAGCAUUCUGAGGGCACUUGCUCUUGAAUAUGGAACCAGUAGGAUAGUAUUUGGCUUUCAGAACCUUGGAGGCAAGCAAAUUUGGGUUAACAAGCAAUCUCCAUAUCUGCUUACCUAGCAAAGCUCGGUUGAAGUUGACCAAAUCUUUGAAUCCAAGUCCUCCCUGGUUCUUUUCUUGAGUAAUUCUCUUCCAGGAACAUAAAUGCAUCUUAUCCUUUCCAUUAUUGUCUCCUCACCAGUACCUUGCCAUCAUUGCACUGAGUUCCUUGCAUAGUUUCAGAGGCAAUUUGAAGCAUGACAUAGCAUAUGUAGGCAUUGCUUGAGUCACUGGUUUUAAUAAGACCUCCUUCCCUGCUUGACUUAACAACUUCUGCUUCCAGCUUCCUAAAUUCUUUUUAAUAUUGUCUCUGAUGAAACCAAAGAUUUGGCCCUUCGUUCUUGUUAUCACCAUUGGAAGACCCAGGUACUUGCCUUGGUUGACCAUCUGGAUAUUUUCCAAUCUGCAGCAUACUUCUAGUUUUUUGCUAUGCUCCAUGUUUUUGCUGAAGAAGACAGAAGACUUCUCUAGGUUGAUCAACUGUCCAGAGCUCUUCUCAUAAGCCUCCAGGAUAUAUCCUCCUUAACUCCUCAGCAUGCUUGGUGUCUGCCUUACAAAAUAUUAACGAGUCAUCUGCAAAAAAUACAUGUGUUAGUCUAGGUCCAUUCCUGCUGAUUUUGAGUCCAGUAAUCUACUUGUUCUCUUCAGCACUUUUCAGCAGGUUUGAGAAUCCUUCUGAGCACAGUAGGAAGAGAUAUGAAGAGAGGGGGUCACCCUGUCUUAUUCCUCUUUUUCGUACUACAAACUCUUUCACCUCACCAUUUAUAUUGAAGGAGUAAUAGACAGAUUCAACACAUUUCAUGAUCCAGCUAAUCCAUCUGCUGCUAAAGCCCAUUUUUUGCAUCAUAUCCCUCAAAAAGUGCCACUCCACUCUAUCGUAAGCUUUAGACAUGUCUAGCUUAACAGCCAUGUAUCCCUCCUUCCCAUACCUUUUGUUUUUCAGAAAAUGCAAGUAUUCAUGGGCUAUGAUGACAUUGUCUAGGAUUUGCCUACCAGGAAUGAAUACAGACUGAGUUUUACUGAUGCAGAAAUUUAACACCCCUUUAAGCCUAUUAGCUAGUAUUUUGGAAAUCACUUUAUAUAACACAUUACACAAGCUAAUAGGCCUAUAAUGCUUCAGGUUUACUGGAUCUUUAACUUUUGGUAUAAGGGAGAUUAAUGUAUGAUUCAGAGCUCUAGGCAAGGAAUUGGAAUGAAAAAAAUUUUGGAUAGCCUGGAUUACAUCAUGUUUAAUAAUACACCAGAAUUUCUGGAAAAAAAUAGGGGACAUACCAUCUAUUCCAGGUGUUGUAUCAGGAGACAUAGAGAAAAGGGCUGAUCUGAUUUCUUCUUCAUCCACACCUCUAGUCAGUUGAUCAUUCAUGCUCGCUGUAAUGGUGGGUGGAAUACCUCUAAGGAUGUCCUCAGUACUACCAUUCCCCUUGCUAGUGAACAGUUGUCUGUAGAAACCUGCAACUUCCUCACCUAACUCCUGCUCAUUCUCAGUCCAGGAACCAUCCUCUCUUUGUAGAUUCAACAUUCUGUUUCUCCUCCUCCUCCCCUUCACAUGAGCAUGAAAGAAUUUAGUGUUCUUAUCCCCCUCCUUCAUCCAGUUUAUUCUUGCUUUUUGGUGCCAGAACAGUUCCUCCUCCUUGUACGCCACCUUCAAUUGAUUUUUUAGGUCCACUGUCUCUCUUCUAGUGUCCACUUGAGUGUUAUACUGAAGCUUCUCCAGCUGAGUUUUGAGCUGAUCAAUUUUCUUUUUAGCAUUACAAUUGGAGUUGUUCCUCCACUUUAAUAAUUCAAUCCUGCAAUUUCUGAUUUUGCACUUGACCGUGAACAUUCUUGAUCCCUCAAAAUCUUGUUCCCAUGCAUUUCUGAUCACAUCCUGGACACCUUCUUUCUUCAGCCAUCUCCUGUCAAAGUAAAACAUUUUUUUCCUUUGCCUAGCCUCUGGCUUUGUAUCUAUCAUCAGCAUACUAUGAUCUGACGCGAAGGUAUCCACAUGUGUGCAUUUUAAUUUUUUCCCAAAGUAAGGACCAGUCUAAGCUAUAUAAGCCUCUAUCCAGUCGCUCUCUGACCUCCCCUAUCUCCUCCCAAUUGUUGCUCCAGGUCCAGGGGUUCCUCUCAAAACCAAUGUCAACCAUUUGGUUGUCAUUUAUGAAGUUUUUGAAGUCAGAAAAACUCUUCUCCUCCCUCCAUCUACCUCCCCACUUCUCCUCAUUUGACAGGAUAUCAUUGAAGUCUCCUGCUAUAAUCCAUUUCCCUCCCCACAGCCUUUUCCUAUCCUGGAUCACCUUCCAUUGACUUUUCCUAACCAGAUUAUCACAGCUUGCGUAUAUUCCAACGAACCACCAUGUUGUCUUUGUCUCAAAAUCUUCCACGUGAGCUUCUAUAGUAAAGGCAGUUUUGAGUAUCUUUAUGAUUUUUACUUCAUCUUUCCACAUCAAUGCCAUGCCCCCCGACCUAUUCAUUGACUCUACUACACAACUAUUUUCAAAAUUCAACUUUUCCCUUACUCUAUCCAUGUACCUUUCUCUAUUUUUCAUUUCACUCAGGAACAACAUAUUAGGGGAGAGGAGGUUGGAAACCUCCCUCAGAUGGGGAAUUGUCAAGGUGCUCCCAACACCUUGGCAAUUCCACACCAGAACUUUCAUUGGGGUUUGGGGGCCCAGAGUAGGCUGGUCCCUUCCUCCACUUUUUCCUGAGCAAUAUAGCAAACCUCAACACAUCCUUUGUUUCUUUUUCCCCCUAUCUCCCUGCCUUCAGCAUCUUCCAUUUCCUCAUCGCAUAACUGAAAUUUCCUUUUUCCCUGACCUCCUGAGUCUUUGAUAUUGAUGCAGAUCUCCUUUAAAGGAGUUCUUCUCUUCGACGAGGAUCUUAACUGCUUCUUCAAUCUCCUAUUCUGUCUUGUGACAGCUUCUUUCUUCUUAUCCUCAACCAUAAGGUCCAGUAAGGUGAUUUCACUUGUAUUAUCCUCAAUGGUUCCUCCUACCCCCUGGUUCUCAAUACCUUUUACCUUUUCCAUUAUAUUAUCCUUCUCAUCUAUUAUUCCCUCUUGUUGAGAGGGUUCCUUCAUCUCCGUACUGGCAGUAACCUCCUUCCUACUUGAGACCAUGUUUUGUCCCCUUACCUCUGUCGUCUCAGCCUCCAUGUUCAUCUUAUGGAGAGAUGCUAUAAUAGUUGCUUCCUUGUCCUGCCUGUUACCCAUCGCCUUAGGGGCUAUAACUGGCUGACUUAUAACAUAGCUGUCCUCUUUUCCAUGUUUGUUAACCUGGUCCUGCAUCUCUAUUGCCUGACUUGGUGAGCCUACCUGAACUGCUGAUGGAACAUGACUGCUCAGCCCUGGGUCCUGUUGUCUUUGUUUCACCACUUCCACCCAGUUCCCAUUAUGUAGCCUCCAGUGGUGUUUGUCCAGGCACUUAUUCCAAUCUUCUAAAUUGAAGAGAGCAAGUCCCCUACCGUCUUUCAAGGAUAGGCAGACAUCUUUCCAUCCCACUUUUGCUAAGUAGUGAUGCUUGAAUCCCCUAGUCCAUACAAAAGAGGAGAUAAGACUUCCCACAUUUUUUAGAAUAGCUUUGGGUGGUAUAAAAGUGCUAGACCAAUGUGUUUGCACUCCAUAUAAAAUGGACUCGACAAGCUGCAAUCUUCCUCCAUAGCUCAAUUUCUGGAUGGCCCAACCUUGAAUCUUGCACUGCAACAUAUCGAGGAUGGGCUGACAGUCCUUGAUGCUAAGUCUUGAAGCAAUGCGAGGCAGCUCAAGGAACUUAACAGGCAGGUUGCACAGAGGCAUGCCCACAACGUUACAAAGAUCAGUGCCAACUUCCUCAGUUACAACAGCCACAAAAUACCUGACAUCUGAUGAAACUCAUCCAAUGCUUGUCUUGCGACCUGAAACGAUCUGUUAGUUGUAGCAGAAACAAGAAAUAGGUCAUCAGCAAAGGCAGCAUGGAUAAAUUCAGCUCCCUGUACUUUGGGUGAAAAUCAAACCCCAUGCAUUUAAUAUUAUCAAUAAAUAACAUUGAGAAAAACUCUAUAGCUAUAAGAAAAAGAUCAGGGGAGAUUUGAUCCCCUUACCGAAUGCCCCUCACUUCUAAAAUAUCCCACCAACGCUCCAUUGAGGUUGAUGGUGAAAUGUGCAACAGAUACACAAUUUCUAACCCCAAGAGAUAAAUUUUUCUGGAAAGUGCAUAGUAUCCACUUUAAGAAAUAAGAAAUCCCAAUUGAUUGUGUAGUCAUGGUUCACCAUAUCGGUCGAUACCGAUACGUAUCGGCCAAGUCAUAACUGGAACGGAGGGCACCGAUACGAUAUUGAUCCACGAAUCGCAGAUAUUACUAUAUCUGUGACAACUCGCUCUGACUCGGCUGAUAUUGGCCGAUUCGAAUCCGUGAUACAUGAUAUCGGCCGAUAUAUCCGAGUCAAUUCGGAGUCGACUCAGAUAUUAUUUUAAGUUGUGUCUUUUUUGGUAUUUUCUAAUUUUAGUAAUUUUUUCAAAAUUUUAUCAAACUUUCAUGUACUAUAAUGUGUGUAUCACCCAAUAUUCAACCGAUAUACCGCGACAGAUGUGAAACAACUGAGACCGCGACCUGCGAUGGCGAACAAUGUGUCAUAUGCCUUUAUCAGGUCUAUUUUCAACACUGCACAAGCUAAUCCAACUUUCUUGCAGUACCCUCUCACCAAUUCAUACAUUACUAGUGUAUUAUCUGCUAUACUUCUUCCUAUUAUAAAGCACUCUGAUGUUCACCAAUGAUUCGAGGAUUUAAACUUUCAACCUAUUAGUUAGCAAUGCUAAAUCGCAUUUACAUAGCAAACAACAGAAGGCUAUAGGCUUGAAAUCCCUCAUUUGUGUUGUAUUCUGCAUCUUUGGGACCAGUGUAAUUAUAGUACUAUUUAAAGGAUAAUGCAUAUACUUCUUGUCAAAACAAGAUUGAACAUCUCGAAUUACUUCAUCACCAAUGACAUGCCAAUUCUUCUUUGAAAAAUUUGUGCACUAAAGCCAUUUGGGCUUGGAGCUUUACCAUCCUUCAUAGUAAACAUAGCAUGUUUAAUCUCUUCAGCUGACACACUAGCUUGGAGAAAGUCUAAUUGAUCACUAGUGAUGGCUUUAGCAUUUAUCUGUUGCAGCUUGCCCUUCAAAUCAGGGCACUAGGAGUUAGAUUUACUGAACUCCUAGUGAGCGACCUCACACUAUUAUCAUGCAUUUUAAUAUGGACGAUACCCUUACCAACAAUAUCACAAACGACAUUUUUACUCAUCAAAACAAUUCCAUCAUUACAAAAUUUAUAAGUGAAAAAUAAAUCCCUAUUGGGACACAUAUGAUAAAGAGCACUUCGAAUCUAAAAUUCAUUCAUUUUUAGACCUUGUUCUAUCAUCAGUGAAGGAAAAUAUUUCCUUCAUUCUCAUCAACUAUAACACAAGAUUCGACAGUUUCAGUAUUUUUCUUACCAAGUUUCCUCUUUUACUUUAAUCUUUUCAAUUUAAAGCAAUUUACCUUAAUGUGCCCCAUUUUGUGACAAUAAUUGCAUUCCAAAUUUCUAUGUCAGAAUUUAGAUAGACUAUUGUCAAAUUUUCUUUUAUUGGUUCUAUCCCUAACAACCAAGUCUUCCUUCUAACUUCCAUUAAUUUCUCCAAUAUAUCCCUAUCAAUCUGCUCCUUAGAUUUUAACGCAGAUUUAAUUUUCCAAUACGAAAUUAUUUUUUUCAUAAAUUAUAGUAUGGUGAAAAUAUUUAAAAGAUUGGAGAAGGAAAUACAAAAGUAACAGGGCCUGAUCCUCAUGGUCAAUUUUCAAAUCUAUAUUAUCCAAAUCUAGAAUAAUGGAAAUAAAUUUAUCAAAAUGUGAGAGUAUAAAUGUACUUUCAGUUAUGUGAAGCAUAACAGACUUUGCUUUAAAUAAAACCGACUGUCAAUUGUCUUAUUCAUGUACAAGGCUUUAAACUUGUCCCACAUGUCCUUUGCCGAAGUUUCAGUGGCUACCUCCCUCAAAAUCUCGUUAGAGAGAUUUAAGAUAAUACUGGACCUUACUUUCUUAUCUAUUUCGGCAAAAUUUGCAUUUGUCACACUUUUUGACUUUUCUUAAUUCCUUGUGUUGCUAAAUCAAUUUCGACUCUCCAUCUUGAGCUACCACAUCCCGAAAUUUACAUUCCUGUCGAAUUGCUUGACAACAAUCUUUGUUAUUAUAAUAUUGCCACAGAAUUCAAAACCUUUGAAGAAUUUUUGAUAUCAGCUUGUUAGGUCUAACCCCAGAAAAUCGACGAAAGAAUUUUUGGCAAUCCCAAAACAAAUAAUAAAGCAAAAAUAAAUAAAAUAGAAGCACAAAAAUUUACGUGAUUCGAGAGCAAAAUUUCACCCAUGAUAGAACUACUUUUGACAGCAAUUUUUCCUCAGAAUGUAUUAUACAAAUUUGUAAUUUACUAUGCCAAAAAUUAUCUUAAAAGUUAGGAGGACUAUUGUCAUCCAAUUGACGUUUGACUAACUGCCUGCCUUCCAGUCACAAACUGACAACAGAUACUAAUCACAAACUUGAUUACAAAUCACAAACUUGACAUCAGACCAAUGUUUUCAAACCCGGACCGGACCAGCCAGUUCGACCGCGAAUCGGCUAGGCGCCCGGUCCAGUCCAUAGCUUAUGUUGACUUUGAUGAAAAACCGGUCAAACUCGUAAAAAACCGUUCAAACCUUCAAAAUCGGAUCGGACCAUGAACCGCGGUUUUCCAAUUUUUGAGUCAAAAUUGACAAAAUUUUCAAUUUUGACCAGACCCUAAUCUUCACUUCACUUCAGUCUUCCUCUUCGCCGCAGUUCGCACUUCGCUUCGGUCGUCAUGGGUUCCUCUCUGGCUCUCUCUGCAAUUGCCGAAAAUUGCCUUGCCUGCAGUUUCUAUUUCCUUCUCCAAACUCCAAUUUGAUCCAUAGCAAUCAGCAAAAAGGAAGCACCGAGGUCCGAAGCUUGAAGUUUUUGCACCUGCUGCUGCGAUUCCAAGCCAAAAAAACUCUGGAAUUCAAGCUUAUACCAGGUUCGUUUAUCUUUUUUCCCUUUUUUUUUCCUCUCGUUGUUGAUUACUGGGUUUUGGUUACGAUCCCUCCCAUCCUCUCGGCCCUCUGUAUAUAUACUGCUGUAAUUUUGCAGCCUAAUCCUCGGAUCACUGUGCCUAAUCCCCUUUUCUCUGCAUCCGCAGCGCUGCUUUUCUGUUCAUUUGUUUCUUGAAGGGACGUCCCGACAAUCCCAUCUCGUUCACACCAUCUUCAUCAGCUUUUCUCGAAACCAACUCUGUCUCAGGUAUUUUACUUCAUACGCCUACUGCGCUUCUAUGUUCUUCUUUCAAUAUGAAUGGUUUACGGUACUGAUAUUCGGUAAUGAAAUGUGCAUUCGAAACAUGAUUCUACUAAUAGUCUUAAGCAUCAUUUAUUUGGGAACUGAAACUGUCACCAACGAAGGCCAGAAAGCCAGACCAGAAUCACACGAAAUACAUACUUACUGAUGCUUAACAAAGUUAACCCUGACCCCUGGAAGUUUCGAAAACCCAGGCCAGAUUGUGUCAUUAGGCGUACCAAAAAUUUUGAAUAUCUGCAAAACAAAACGACAAUGAUCUUUAAGGCCACAGAGAAGAAAAUUAGCUUGAAAUCCAUACAAAAAUCUACAGUAACAUGACAGAUGAAAGUUGUCAAAAUGUUAACCUUGUCAAGUUGAUCAACUUCUGUUUUCCCAUUGAAUAGUGGCUGCUUCGCUGAGCCAAAUAAAAGAUUUUAAUUAUCUCAACUAAAAAAGACAAUAAUGCAUAAAACUACUCUCACCUGUACCACAAAGUAACCACCAAGUUAGUAUAUGGUUUCAAAGGGCUUCCAUAUUGACUAAUCCAAAGUCACGGAUCUUUAACUCACCACAAUUAUUUAAAAGUAUAUUUGAUGUCUUUAAAUCUCUGUGCAAAAUCCAGUUAUCGUGAAGAUACUUAACACCCUCAAGAAAUGCACAAGGCUUAGGGAAAUAACUUCACUCGUGCUAAACGGUUGUUUCAUUAUCUCCAUUAACCCCUUUAGAUCUUUUGGUGACAGUUUCAGUUCCCAAAUACAAAUAGUCUUAAGCAUCAUGCAUCACUAGGUGUAUAUUUUAGUUUUGGCAAUUAUUACAAGACUAGGAUUAUUUUUUGCUAAGGUGUAUACCAGGUUCGUGUGUAUUAAUUAUUUGUUUAAGACUAAUUAUUUUUAAAUAUCUCAUUUUAGGAUGGACGCCGGUAGCGGUAGUAACUCACAAUGUUCACCGGGGGGAGCAUUCAAUAGUGAGGAAUCUGCAAGUCAACCCCAAGGUCAUAGGCAGAAGAUAGAUAUAGCAUGGGGAUAUGUUUCUGAGGGCAGAAAUGCACAAGGAAGAAAAACCAUGACAUGCACUUAUUGUUUUAAAGUAUUUCAUAGGGGUGGCAUCCACCGAAUGAAGCAAUACUUAGCAGGAGUAACGGGCAGUAUUACUUCAUGUGCACAUGUUGAUCCAGCAGUGAGGCUUGCAAUAUUAACAUCUUUGCAAGAGAAUGAUAAAAAAUCUAAAGAAAAAAGAGGAGAUUUUGGGGUCGAAAAUCCUUUUGGUCAACAGUGCACGAAUUUGUUGGUAAGAGGUUCCACCUCCUCGAGUAAGGGAUAUUUCAAUGAAUGAGGCUGGUACAUCAUUAGGUAAAGGAAAGAGAAAAACCACUGCUCCUACAGGUAUUCGUGCUUUCUUUAAGGGUGGACGUGAUAGUUCUCAACCUACUAUCAAAGCUUGUUUGCAAAGUAAGGAUAAAUGGCAAAAUAUUGAUAUGGCCAUUGCUCUUUGGUUCUAUGAUGCAUGUAUUCCCAUUAAUGCUGUUAAUUCUCCAUUUUUUCAAAAAGCUAUCGAUCAAAUAGCAUCAAUGGGUCAUGGUUAUAAAGCUCCAUCUUAUCAUUCUUUGCGAGUCACUUUGUUGCGAGAUGCUAAGAAAGAUGUGCAGUUAGUUGUUGAUUCAUUUCGAAAUACUUGGGCUGAAACUGGAUGCACUAUAAUGGGUGAUGGAUGGAAAGAUAGUAGACAAAGACCAUUGAUUAAUUUUCUGGUUUAUUGUCCUAAGGGUAUAUCUUUUAUUAAGUCUAUAGAUGCAUCUGACAUUGUGACAAAUGCAGAAAAUUUGUGCAAUCUGUUUGUUGAAAUUGUUGAAAUGGUUGGUUCCAAAAAUGUGGUGCAUUUAGUCACUGAUAAUGCUAGCAAUUAUAAGGCUGCUGGAACUUUAUUAAAUGAAAGAUAUCCAACUAUUUGCUGGUCUCCAUGUGCUGCCCAUUGUAUCAAUUUGAUUUUGAAGGAUAUUGGUGAAAUGGGUACUGUUAAAUCUCUAGUGUCUCUUGCUUCUACAGUAACUGUUUUUGUGUAUAAUCAUAAAUAUGUUCUGAAUUGGUUGAGAAAAACUGAUGGGUGGAAGGAGAUUAUUCGUCCGGGGGAAACACGAUUUGCCACCACUUUUAUUGCACUAAAGAGCUUACAUGAUCACAAAGACAGCUUACAAGCUUUAGUCACUAGUGGAGAUUACAAAAAGUUCUUGAAAAUGAACAAAGGAAAAGAGGUCAAACAAAUUGUUUUGGAUGAUAGAUUUUGGAAUAAUUGUUUGAUUACAGUGAGAAUAAUGGGUCCUAUUAUUCGGUUGUUGAGAGUUUGUGACACUGAUGAAAGGCCUUCUUUGGGGUAUGUGUAUGAAGGUAUGUUUAGAGCAAUUACUGGAAUCAAGAAGUUGUUCAGGAAUAGUGAAAGGCUAUAUAAGCCUUACAUUGAUAUCAUCAAUGACCGAUGGGAUAGGAUGUUGAGGAAAAAUUUGCAUACUACGGCAUAUUUUUUAAAUCCCGCUUUUCAAUAUGACACUGCCACAUUCUCUACACAUCCAGAAAUUACAAAUGGUUUGUUGGAUUACAUAGAAUCAAAGGUGGAUUGGUGCAGUGAGGAAAAUUUAACAAAAGAAAUUGGAAUGUAUCGAGAGCGGGAGGGAAGUUUUGGCAGAAAACUUGCUAUUCUUACUAGCAAGAAAGAUAGACCAGGUAAUUUAUAUUUUUCUAGCAUUUAAAUCUUUCUAAUAUAUAUAUCUAAUUUAUAAAUAUUUUGUUUAUAUUUAAAUUUUGAAUAUGACAGAGAAUUGGUGGAAACUCUUUGGUUGUGAUGCUCCCAACUUACAAAAACUUGCAAUUUGGGUUUUGAGUCAAACAGCUUCUUCCUCAGGAUGUGAGCGUAAUUGGAGUGUUUUUGAACGUAUUCAUACUAAGAAAAGAAAUAGGUUGGAGCAUCAAAGGCUCAAUGAUCUUGUAUAUGUGCAUUACAAUUUGCGUUUGCAGUAUAGGUAUAUGUAAAUGGUUUAUUUUUAUAAAUGACAUUUCAUUCUUUUUAAGAAAAUAUUUUAGUACUAACUAAGUGUAUAUGUUGUAUAUAUACACAUAUAUAUAUGUUGUAGGCAUAAUCAGCAAAAGAGAUCGUAUGACCCCGUUGAUUAUGAGUCAAUUGAUAAAACAGAAUUUUGGGUGGUUGAAGAAGAACAAGAAGGGGAGCUUGAUUAUGAGGAGUUAGAGGAAGAGCUUGAAGAACCUCCAAUUCAUGGUCAAUGUUCAAAUUCUGAACAACUUGAAGGUUAGUCUAACAUAAAUCAUAAGUUUGAUGCAAAAAUAAAGCUAGUAUGAUAUGAUAUUCAAUUGUUGAAUAUAUAUAUAUAUAAUUAAAUAUGCUGAUUUUUUAGAUGAUGAAGAUGAAGCAGAAGAUGUUGAUUUAGAAACAUUUCAGCGUCGAAACUUUUUUAAUGAUGAAGAUGAUGAUUGGCAUUAAAUAUUCAAAUGGUAAUUGGUAUAGAAUUAUUUGUACUAUUUUAUUUUUAUUUUUAAGAUUUGUAUCAGUUGGUGUAAUGAAACUAAUAUGAUUUUAUACUUUUAUCACUUGUCAGUGAUUCAUAUAAUGGUCUUGGAUGAUGAUGAUGACUUGUCAAGAUGGCUUUUUUUGAAGUUUUGUUGUCCCAGAAUUAUGAAGAAGAUUAUAGAAGCUUCAGAAAUUGGACUCGUUUGGACCCUUUGAUUGUUUUCUAGACCUGUAUUGUUUUUUGUUAAUUUUAAUAUUUAGACAAUUGGACAUGUAAGUUGUAAGUUUCAUAACUAUGUUAAUUGUGUGUGUUAAUUGUUGGAUAUUGCUCUUAUAUUUAUUGUGGUUCAGCAUUUAUAUCUUAUUCUAUGUAUAGGUGUGUGUGUCUAUAUAUAUAUAUAUAUAUAUAUAUAUAUAUAUUUAUUUAUUGAACUCCGAUUGAAUCGGUCUGACCGAUUGAAUCUCGACCCUUUCAUCUCACCGGUUCGAUUGACGGUCCGAAUUUGAAAACAUUGCAUCAGACACUUUUUUCUUUUAUAAGAGAACGUGAGGAGCUAACCAUAUCGAAAUCAAAAUAACACAAUACUAAAUCAAUUUCAUUGGGUGAAGCAACCUCUUAAGUACUGUUCUUUCUCGGAUUCAAGAUUUUAAAAGUCAAGAUAUCCUCGAAUUCUUGGAUAAGAUCAACAGUAUUGGUCAUCACCCUUCCACGUAUGCUUUCUCAUCCAUGUUUCUAGCAACCUCAUUUUCGUUCCUCUGUGAUGACAAGCUGUUCUAGAAAUAAUAAUCAUUUGACCACAUGAUUAAAAAUCACUAACGUGUCGCCAUAUAAAGUAAUAUCUGACAAGUUGCAACUUAUCGUUUAUUUUAUAAUUAAUUUAUUUUACUAUCUGACCCAAUGUAAAUUAAUUGUUAGAUUCUAUUCAUUUUUAAAAAUUUAUAUUUUUUACAGGAAGGAGAACAAAAAUACCAUAAUAAAUGUCAAUUUAACGAUCAUAAAAAAAGAGUUCAAGUAACAGGUAUUUAAGAAUACUUCCUUCUUGAUAAUUUGGCCGAUGACAGCAUUUAAAAGAAAGGGCUGCUGGCUGGGGGCCGCUGCACAAGAUAUAGGCAUUAGAGUAGGACUUUGAUAGAGAUUUGAUAGGGGAGGACUUUUCUCUUUUAGCUUAGUUUUUUUUUUUUUUACUUUUCCCUUGGAUCUCUUUUUGGUUUUUUUCCUUCCUACGCAUGUCAGAGGACUGGAGCCUAGCUUUUGACUUUUCCUUGUUAGUUUUAUAAUAGCUUUUCUCUUCGUAUGUUGGACACAAGCGAAACGCCGAAACCCAAUUGAUAACGUCCUGUAUCUUGCUUUCCUUGUUGAUUGGAACGAAUGGAACUCUCAAGAAUCAGCGACAAUGGCCGCAAUUACUUCUGCAAUUAUGUGUGGGUUUUUUGCAUUAAAGAUGAACUAAUUUCCUUACUCUAGUUAAGGAGCAACGGAGGUUUUGGUUCGCCUCAAAAUUAUGAAAUCGAUUUAAUUUUAUCUUUUUUUGUUAUUUAUUGAUAUUCGCAUAUUUCUUGAUUGCAGUAUUUAUGAUUAUUUAAUUAAUUGAUUUUCUUGGAUCCAGAUAAUUAGUUAAUUUGGUAAUUUAAUAUCAAUUAGAACAUUAAAUCCGUAAUUAUUUAAUUGACUUGAAAUAGUGACAACUGGCAUAAUUGGAUUUGUAUCAGGAGAAUACGCGGGUAAAUUUAAAAUAACCCUGAUAGUGCGUUAUUUGGUUAGAAUAGGGCUCCUCUAAUACGUAAGGCAAUUAGGGAAUUAAAUCUUAUGUGCGUACCUAGGAUUAUUUCUCAAUUAGAACAGUGAUUAACGGGCGUACCUUAGUCACCGACACAGUAAGGAGGGGUUAACUGUCAUCGCUUGUUUGGCAGUUAUAACCUAUUUAUUAAUAAAUAAUUAGAAUUGCAUGUGCAUCAAUGAUCAAUUAAGUGAACCAUUGCUGAAGUUAUUUCUUGGCUAGACCUUUAAUUAUUAUUACCUUGAUUUUAGUGAAUUGUCAUUUAAUUUUUAGUUGGCUAUUUUAUUUUUAGUUGAAUUGUUUUAAGUGUCAUCCUCUAUACAAAAACACCCCUGUGUUACUUUGGAUUUUUAAAGAGACAAAUACACUCAAUCCUUGAGGAUACGACCCUACUUGUCCUGUUUACAAAUUAAUAAUUAUUUGUGUAAGAGUCAUCCCAUUCGGGUAUAUCGGAUCAAGCAAACUCUUCGGGAAUAGGGUAAAUUAAGUAACCUAUAGCACAUCUAAAGUCCCUGCUCCAGUACUUAAAAUCGGGUUUUGACUAUUUUAAUUGACAAUUAAGUUUAUUUUUAUUAUUGUAUAGGUUUCGACAACCUGUCAAUCUCUCACCAACUUACCUUUGUUUGACAAGUACCAUUUAUUUCCUAUCCAUUCUAAUUUUGUGAUUUGGUUUGACCGACGAGUGCUCAAAGGGUACUCGUUAAAAGGAGUUCAAAUGUUAGUUUUUUGAAAAAAUGUAAGUUUAUUUGCAAAAGCGUCACAAUUCGAGAUGUGCAAUAUAUGUGAGUAUGUGUAUUUACAUAGCAACUUAGGCGCGCCCAUUAGUAAAACUUUUCGUAAUUGAGCUUGUAUUUAGGUCUUGUUUAAUAAUUUAAUUCAGCACUUAAAUUUAAUAAAUUUAAAGAAUUAUCCCCACAUAACGAGAGCAAAAUGUAGUUUAUUUGCAAAAGCGUCACAAUUCGAGAUGUCCAGUAUAUGUGAGUAUGUGUAUUUACAUAGUAACUUAGGCGUGCCCAUUAGGAAAACUUUUUGGAAUUAAGCAUGUACUUAUGCUUUAUUUAAUAACUCAAUUCAACAUUUAAAUUUAAUGGAUUUAAAGAAUUAUCCCCACAUAACGAGAGCAAAAUUUCACCCAUGAUAAAACUACUUUCGACAGGAUUUUUGGUCAGAAUGUAUUAUAGAAAUUUGCAGUUUACCAUCGAGAGCAAAAUUUCACCCAUGAUAGAACUACUUUUGAAAGCAAUUUUUUCUCAGAAUGUAUUACACAAAUUUGUAAUCUACUCUGCCAAAAAUUAUCUUAAAAGUUAGGAGGAAUUAUUUGUAAUCUACUCUGCCAAAAAUUUGUAAUCUACUCUGCCAAUUUUUUCUCAGAAUGUAUUACACAAAUUUGUCAUCCAAUUGACGUUGACUAACUGCCUGCCUUCCAGUCACAAACUGACAACAGAUACUAAACUUGAUUACAAAUCACAAAAUUGACAACAGAUACUUGUUUUUUUUUAUUAGAGAACGUGAGGAACGUGAGGAGCUAACCACAUCGAAAUCAAAAUAACACAAUACCAAAUCAAUUUCAUUGGGCGAAGCAACCUCUUAACUACUGUUCUUUCUGGGAAUCAAGAUUUUAAAAGUCAAGAUAUCCUCGAAUUCUUGGAUAAGAUCAACAGUAUUGGUCAUCACCCUUCCGUGUAUGCUUUCUCAUCCAUGUUUCUAGUAACCUCAUUUUCGCUCCUCUGUGAUGACAAGCUGUUCUGGAAAUGAUAAUCAUUUGACCACAUGAUUAAAAAUCACAAAUGCAUUGCCAUAUAAAGUAAUCUCUCACCAUCUUACCUUCGUUUGAUAAUUACAUUUUAUUUCCUAACCAUUCUAAUUUGUAAUUCGAUUUGACUAAUGAGUAUUCAAUGGAAACUCGUUAAAAAAAAUUCGUAUUAGUUUUUUUAAAAAUAUAUAGUUUAUUUGUAAAAGUAUAGCAAUUCGAAAUGUGCAAUAUAAGUGUGUAUGCGUAUUUAUAUAGCAAUUUAGGUGUGGUCAUUAGCAAAAUUUUUCCUAAUUAAGCCUUUACUUAGUAACUGGCAUUUCUAGCCAAAUAUAGAUUGCGUGCCAUUAAAAAAUUCUUCAAAGGGCGGUGUGUCUUUUCACACUGACCUUAUCAAAGACGCGUCCCAUGCUGGUCGGCCGUGACUUUGGUGAUUAGGUCCGACAAGUAAUGAAUUUACUUAUGGGGUACGUCACCACAUUUUUAGGCCUAUAAAUACGAGGACUCUGGUUCGUUAUUUUGAUAUGCUAAACUCAGCAAACAGGUUUCCGACAGUCACAACCAGUUACAAGUAUCCAUUUUCGUUCAUAUUAAUUAGCUAGCUAGUUCUCCAAGGGAAAAAAUGGCUGAAGCCAAAUCUGCUACUGUCACUGAUCAGGUGAAUAGUGAUUCUAUUGCCUAGCCAGAGCUAGAUUUCCUUCUUUUUCAAGUUUGUGUGUGGUUUUGAGAAUCAACUCAUAAACAACUUGUAUUUGGAAAAGUAUGAGGAGUUGCAAGUUAAAGUAAUUUCAACGAUCUUGAAUUGUCUUAUUAACUGAUCGGAUUUAGUCUUCUUCUGAUUGUUUGUUUAUUUGAAGGGAUUCUAAUUGAUUUUGGGAACUCAAUUGUUUUGCGAUUUUCUUACUGGUUAAAAUGUUUGGGAUUUACAGAUCGACAUCAACUCAAUACAACCAGUGGCGCCGGCUGACCCUCACGUGGUCGGGAUCGGACAAUUUGUAGUGGAAAAAUUUCACCACGGCAAGCUGCAUUUCAUCGCCGUGAUUGGCGGAUUCACUUGGAAUUGUGAAGGAGGCAAGUACUACGCACUUAUCAUUCAAAAUCAGGAUUAUGAGGGCGCCACAUUUAUCCAUAAAGCACUCGUUGUUGAGGCCAAAGGUGAAACGAAACUCCUCUGGCACAGGAAUUAAUCAAGCACUACUAUUGAUCAGCUGAGGAUAAAGGACUUUCUUUGGGUACUUAAAUUAUCUAGUGUCUAUGGUGUGGGUUUUCAGUUUAUGCAUGGAUGAUGUACUGCUGCCAUGCAGACAUCUUUCCACUGUUGUACUAGUAUGUUAAAUAAGGUGCACUUAUACCAACAAAAUGCACCAUUCCGUCUAUUUUUUUAAUUUGUAUCCUUGUAAUAACAUGCAAAAGAUGCACUUUUACGAACAAAAAUGUACCAUUAAAUGAAUAAAAACAAUCGUCUGUUUUUGAGUUUUAUCUGUAUAUUUUGUUUCUAUGUUACUUCCAAGCAAGUUCCGAUCCCUGAAUUUGUAUGUCAACUACGUACUAUGGUCUUGUUAGAUAUUUGGGUUGUCCUCCUAAAUCUGCUUUUAAUAUGAUAGAAUCUAUUUGUGGUAGAUUUUUUGUGGGGUUCCUCGGAGGAGCAAAGGAACACGCCAGUUUCUAACUCGGAAUGGUCCUAGCUAGUUCAUUGAUCCAGCUCCCAGAGUAGAGCUGUCUGGUCCUGCCAUCACCAAACUAAGAACAUGUUUCCUUGAAACGCCCAUAGAGAAUGCUUUCUAGGAUCAACCAAAAAUGAUAAUAAUAACAGUAAAUGUACCUCCAUUUAGCCAUAAAACACGAGGCUUGUUAGAAGGAUUUUCGGACUCCGCAAAAUAGUAGAAGAGAGCUUUACCAGUCUUCGGAUCAACAGUAACAUACCCUGAAUAUUGAUCACACUUUAACCCUUUUGGUUGCCCCGGCAACGCUACUACCUUGUCAGCCGCCUUCCAAACCCUCUUGAGGACCAAUAUAAACUGGCGUGUUCUCAUUUACGUAAUUGUCUACUUGAUGGGUGUCGAAACCACCAAAAAUAAAAUUCGUACUCCAAAAAGAUAUACUUUUGAGUACAAUGGUGAGUGGAGUCAAAAAAUAAUAAUGUAAAAUUAAAUAAAAAUAAUUCAAUAAAAGAUAAAUCACUAGUCAAAAAUCUAAUCACCACUUUAGUUCAAUUAACUAAUCAUUGAUGCAUGGAUAAAAUCAUUUAUUUAUAAAUAAAUUAGUUAUGGUUGUCAACAAAUUUUAAGAACCUGCCUACCUCUCCUUGCUACCCUCGAUAACCACAGCAAAUUUUGUGAUUAUUACUCUUGCCAAUUAAACAACCCUAGACAAACUUUUAGGAUUUAACAUAUUGACAAAAUUAAUUAUUACAAAAGCUACCCAUUUGAUAACAUUAAUUAUUACAAAAGUUGCCGGUUCUAACCAAUAAACACAUAAGUUUCCGUUUAUUUGGAUUCGAUUAUAUAUUUUCGUGACCUAUAUUUGAAAAUUUUUACUACAAUCAAAUUAUAUCAAAUUAUAUCACUUGCCAUAAAUACUAAAACCAUCAAAUAAUUAUAGAUUUGAUGAUUUAGAUGCAAUAUAGUGUUUCAAUAAUUAAAUAAUGGCCAAUUAUUUAAUCAUAUAAAAUAAUCAUAUUAGGAACUUGAGAAGUUCGGUAAAAUUUUCAUUCCCUCAAAGGUUCAAGGCAAAUAAAUUUGAUAGGGAUUUUGAGAAGUUUGCUAAAAUUUUUAAGCAAUUGCGUAUUAAUAUCCUUUUUGCCGAUGUUAUUUUCAGAUUCCUUCGUAUGAAAAAUUUCUCAAGGAGAUUAUGAUUCAAAAGAGAAAAUUGGAGGAUUGUGAAGCAAUAGCAUUAACGGAGAAGUGCAGUGCCAUCAUACAAAAUAAGCUACCACCAAAAUUGAAGGAUCCAGGGAAUUUCUUUAUAUCAUGCAUGUGAGGACCAGAAAAAAUUUUAUUUUUUUUAAGUUUUCUCCUAUUUUUGAAAAAAAAUUAAUUUAUGUUUCCUUUUAUUUUACUUUACUUGCUUAUUUGCUAGUCUUAAUUUGAUAGUGAUUUUAAAGGUUAAGUUAAGAUUAUUCUUUUGUUCCCUUUUUAUAAUCUUGAUGCAUGUUAAGUUUCAUAAAGUAUUAUGGUAGUUUAACCGACUAGUGAGAUGUACGCAUUAUAUUUGAUGGACGAGAAUGGAUGUGAUGCUAGAGGAAUUAUGUGAUUAGAAGUGUUAAAAAUGUAUUGGAAGAACACAAGAUAUAUUGGUUAUUAGAGAAAUACAAGAGAGACAAAAGGAUAGACAUGAAACCAAGCCUCGACAAGUGUCGUGCAUCCAUGAAGUCUUGACCAAGACAUGGACCAAGAGAAGUCUUAUGUUUAUCUUCCAAAAUUGACUCAAAAACCUUUACUUUCUUCUUCAUUGUGGCCGAACUUAAGGGAGAGAGAGAAGAGAGAAAACUUUCAAAAUCCUCUUGAUUUCCUUGCUUAAUUUGUGAAAAAAUCCAUGAUCAACCCUAAUUUACUCCAUAAAACCUUGAGUUAAUCUUGGAAUGAAACUUUUGGUGGAAUCAUUUGAGGAAGAAAGUUCUUAUCUUACCAUUUAUCUUGGGAUUUUGAGGUAUUUUACUAAGAACCUCUCUUUUUCCUUCUUAUUUUGCCAUUUAAGCAACAUAUAACUUGAUUAGGAUGGAUUUCAUAGAAGAAUUCAUGGUUUUGCUUAGUAGGUUGCAAUUUUCAGCUUUGGAAUAUAUUGUUCAGCCUUGUUAUGAAUGGUUUUGCUUUGAUAUGAGGUUGGAUAUGAAAUUUUAGCUUUGAAAUGAGGUUAUCUAGCUUCUAUAUUCGAAUUUCCAGCUUUAGUGUUAAUUUCCAACUUUGAUUUUGUAUUUUCCAGCCUUGAGUUGAGAGUUUCCAACUUUGAUGUGGACUUAUGAGUUUGGAUAUGAAGAUAUCUAACUUGAACAUGCACUUCUAGCUUUGUUAUAUGAUUUUUCUAGCUUUAGUGGUCAAUUUCCAGCUUUGAGAUGAAAAAUUUCAGCUUUGGUGUAAGUGAUUUGGAGCUUGAUAUAUAUGUUCAAAGUUGAUAGUUUAGUGGCCUAAAGUAUGCACUAUUUGUCCCCUAUAAUAUGUGGCCUUGAUUGAGGUUCAUUUACCAUGAAACUAGGAUUUGAAUGGAUGGUUAACUUGAAGAAAUUUGGGGACAUAUUGCUGGAUUUUCUUCUUGUUGGUCAUUUUGGGGACCUAAAUUUGGGGACAUAAAUUUAGGGCAUUUUUGUUUUUCUCUUGCAUAUGAUUUUACUCAAAACACUUGCUACAAUCUAUUUCUUUGCAUGUACGUUAGUUUUGAGCCAAGACAAGAGGUUUAAAUGAAAGGAAAUGAGUUUUAUCAAAUCAUUUUCUAGUUGGACAAUUUCCAACUUGGCACCUUCAAAGUCUUGACAUAAUUUCCUCAAACUUUUGACUAUAAUCGAUGUUUGUGUGCUCCAAAUGACUCUUGAAACAUGGAUUUAGUAUGCACACAAGGUUUUCCCCUUAAUUUGAACAAGAAAAUGUUAUAUUUUUUAUUAGUUAUAUGGGGAUAAAACUUGUGAACUAGUGUAUUUUCUAAAUGAAGUUUUGAACCCUCAAUUUCUUCAUUGUAUUUUGACUUUGUUUACUAGUCUUUUAAUAUAGUGUAUGACUACAGGACUCGAGAUAUUUCAAGAGGACAAACCGGGGCUGAAGUGAAAGAGUACGAUUGAUUGGUGAGUGUUCUUCGCAUGUUGUGCUUUAAAUGACUAUGUAGAAUGUUUGUUUGAAUGUCAAAUACUUUCUAAUGAUUGUUAAAUGGAUUUUCAAUGGGUGAGUGUGUACUUUAUCACACUUGACCCAAAGUGAAAGUGGAUUUUCAAUGAUUGAAUGUUAUUUGUGCAUGAAUGUAAGCCUUUGAUUGAAUUGGGCCCUUGCCCUUCAUUGCCAGUCGACUCGAGCCAGAAGCAGACUCGGUCGGGUGGCUGGUGACCCUAGGACAGUGUUUGGUAUACUCAAGUAUGAUCACGAAGUUGGAUGGAGUACUAGCCAGUGUAUGCAAUGCAAUGAUUGAAACGAAUGACUGAAUGAAAUGAACACUGAAGGAGUUUUCACUUUCAAAUAUUUUUAAAUAUUGGAGGGAUAAGGGAAAUGGAUGACGAAUGAAUGACUGAAUGAAUGGCUCAAGUGAGUAGUAUCCUUUCAAUGAUUGUUUCUUGAAUGACUGUUUAUUAUCGUGCAAAGUGUAUAAUUGUCAAUUGUAGCAUUUCUGUGCUUUAUCUACCUAACUGCUUGUUUGGGAAUCUCACUAGGCUUUUUGCUCAUUCUAUUAGUUUGUUUUCCUUAUAGGAGUGGAGGCCGGAGCAAGUAAGCGUAAACUAGUGUAUAUAAUCUUCAUUUACUAGUGUGUAUAAUUUUCAUGUACUAGUGUGUAGAUGAAAUGUAUUUGGGAUAUUUAGUAAUGUAAUCCUAUAUUUCACUUUUAGAUUGUAAAUUAAGUGAGAAUUAUUAGUUGAAUUGGGAACUUUUAUGUUAAUCUAGAGACGUGAAAGACUAUUUCAAGAAUGUUAGUGAGUGAGUCCUGACGAGAGUUGGACAGGCGGUCCGCCCAACUCUUGGAUUCGUCCUAGGGAGAGGUGGAGUCGUCACAAUGCACUAUUGAUAACAUUGAUUUUUUUAAAGUAUUAUGUAACCUUGGUGCUAGUGUAUCAGUAAUUCCUUUAAGAGUGGUUAGACAAUUAGAUUUACAUGAGUUUAAAAGUACUAAUAUUACUUUGCAGUUAACUGAUAGGUCUAUUAAAUAUCUAUUGAAAGUGUUGGAGAAUGUAUUAAUUAAAGUAUAAAAAGUUAUCGUCUUUAUGAAUUUUGAGGUAUUAGAUAUGAAAAAAAAAUGUCUAUAUCAAUUAUUCUUGGCAGACCAUUUUUAGCAGUUGUAGGUACUAUUAAUGAUGUUAAAAAUGACAAAUUUAAGUUUCAAAUAUGUAAAGAAGAGGUAGAAUUUAAUUUGAAUGAAAUAAAAAAAUACCAUUUUUUUACUGAUCAUUCUUGUUCUAUUGGCACAAUUGAUAAGUUAGUCAAAGAGUUGAGUCGAGUGAACUGUGACUUCGACCCUUUUGAGAUUUGUUUGAUGAGUUUAAAAAUGCAAGAGGGAGACUGUGAAGAAAUUAAAGAAUUGGCUAAAUAUUUAGAUUUUCAAACAGCUUAUAAACGAGAUAAUGUUUAUGAAAAUCUUGAUCAAAGAAAAGAGCCCCCACUAUCCUCGGAGAUUGAAGUUCCAAAAUUAGAACUCAAGUCGCUCCCAAAUCAUUUAUGGUAUGAGUUUUUUGGAAAAAAUAGCACUCUGCCGAUAAUUAUUAGUGCUCACUUAGAUGAAGAACAAUGUGCAAAAUUGUUAAGGAUUCUAAGAAAACACAAGAAGUCAGUUGGACAGACAAUUUCUGAUAUCAAAGAUACAAGUCAUUAUAUAUGCAUGCACCGCAUAUUAUUAGAAAAAAAUCACACACUAGUGGUAGAAAUGCAAAGAAGGCUCAAUCCAAAUAUGAAAGAGAUGUAAGAAAUAAAAUUCCCAAAUGGCUUGAUUCAGGUAUAAUCUUUUUUUUUCUCUAAUAGUAUUUGGAUAAGUUCAAAUCAUAUUGUCCCUAAAAAGGAUGGAAAAACUGUAGUCAUGGGUAAAAAUGAUAAAAUGAUUCCAUAUCAAUUCAUGAAUUGGUGGAGAGUGUGUAUAGAUUAUAGAAAAUUAAAUGUAGUUACUAGAAAAAAUCACUUUUCCUUACCCUUUUCUGACCAAUUAUUUGAGAGAAUAGCCGGUUAUGAAUUUUACUGUUUUUCUAAUGUUUUUUCGGAUUAUAACCAAUUAGCUAUAAUUUUGGAGGAUCAAGAGAAUACCACAUUUACUUACCCUUAUGGUACCUUUGCCUUAAGAAAGAUGCCAUUUGAUCUAUGUAAAAUCCCUGCUAUGUUUCAACGUUACAUGGUGGCCAUAGUUUCUAAUUACAUUAAGAAAAUUAUGGAGAUAUUUAUGGAUGAUUUUUUGGUAUUUGGUUCAUCUUUUGGUCAUUAUAUUCAUAAUUUAGAUUUGAUUUUACAAAGAUGUGAGGAGACAAAUCUUGUGCUAAAUUAGGAGAAAUGCUAUUUUAUGGUUCGAGAAAAAAUUGUCAGAAUCAGAUAAAGAUAAUAAUGACGAAACUGUAACCAAACCCGUGAUAGUAGAUCCCUACAAAACAUAUAAACUACCAAAUCUGCAAACUUUUAUUACAAUAAGAGCGCCUUUAGAAACCUUCAUAACGUUAUUUUUAGCUGUGUAUGUGCACCCAAGAACCUCCAGAGUGUCCAAAGAAAUGAGAUUCUUUUUCAAAUCAAGAACAUGUCUAAUAUUAGUAAGCGUUCUCAAAAUACCAUCAUGUAUUUUAAUUCAAACUGUACCCUUACCAACAACAUCACAAACGGCAUUAUUGCCCAUGAAAGCAAUUCCACCAUUACAAGAUUCAUAAGUGAAAAAUAAAUCCCCAUUGGGACAUAUGUGAUAAGAGCACCCCGAAUCUAAGAUUCAUUCAUUUUUAAACCUUGUCCUAUCAUCAGUCACAAAAUAUUUAUUUUAUUCUCAUCAACUGCAGCACAAGUUUCGAUAGUUUAGGUACUUUUUUUCACUAGGUUUCCCCUUUUACUUUAAUCUUUUCAAUUUAAAGUAAUUUGCAUUAAUGUGUCUCAUUUUGUGAUAAUAAUUGCACUCUAAAUUUUUGUGUCUGGGUUUAGAUCUAAAGUUAGAUCUACUACUGUCAAAUGUUUUUUAUUGGUUCUGCCCCUAACCACCAGACUUUCCCCCUGAUUCCCAAAUUUCUUCAGUAAUAUCCCUGUCUAUCUGCUCCUUUGAUUUUAAUGCAAAUUUAAUUUCACGAUACGAAAUUAUUUCUUUUCCAUAAAUCAUAGUAUUGUAAAAAUAUUUAAAAGUGGGAAAGGAAAUACAAAAGUAGCAGGGCCUGAUUUUCAACAUCAAUUUCAAAUCUAUAUUCUCCAAAUUCAUAAUAAUUGAAUCAAAUUUAUCAAGAUAUGAGAGUAUAGAUGUACUUUCAGUCAUGCAAAACAUAUACAAACUUUAUUUUAAAUAAAACCGAUUCUUAACUGUUUUCUUCAUGUACAAAGCCUUAAACUUGUCCCACGUGUCCUUUAUCGAAAUUUCAGUGGUUAUCUCCCGCAAAACCACAUCAAAGAGAUUUAAGAUAAUACUAGAUCUUGUCUUCUUAUCUAUUUUAGCAAAAUUUGUAUCUGUCACACUCUUUGACUUUUUAUCAAUUUCUUGUAUUUCUAAAUCAACUCCGCCUUGAACCAAAAUGCUCUCUAUCUUGAGCUGCCGUAUCCCAAAAUUGACAUUCCUGUCAAAUUUUUUGACAAUAAUCUUUGUUAUUAUCAUUGUUGCCACAAAAUUUAAACCUUCCGAAGAAGUUCUGAUAUUAGUUUGUUAGGUCUGGAUCCAGAAAAUUGACGAUAGGAUUUUUGGCAAUCCUAAAAGACAAAUAACAAAGAAAAAUAAAUAAAACAGGAAUACAUAAAAUUUAUAUGAUUCGGUCAAAUAGACCUACGUUCACGAGUGGAGCAAGAGCAAAAUUUUACUAUGAAUAACAGAAUACAAAAAUGUUUUAGACAAGCAUUUUUAAAUCCAAAACACCUAAUACUUGAAACACAAAAGAACCCAAAAAUAUUUUAUUAAACAAAAAGAUUUAAAUGAUUCAAAGGCCCAAAAUAACCCACUAAAACUCUCUUAAUUUGAUUCAUCUGAUUCCCUCAAACAUAUCAAACGUGUAAAACCUUAUCAUAUUUGACCCGUAAAACAUAAUAAACAUGCGUAUACGAAACUAUAAACGAUGUCCCAAAAGAAUUAUCCCCACACAACGAGAGCAAAAUUUCACCCAUUAUAAAACUACUUUCGACGGGGAUUUUUGGUCAGAAUGUAUCAUAGAAAUUUAUAAUUUACAAUACCAGGUCAAUUUUAUCUUAAAAGUUAGGAGGACUAUUGUCAUGCAAUUGACGUUGACUAACUGCCUGCCUUCCAGUCACAAACUGACAACGAUACUAAAUCACAAACUUGACAACAGAUACUUGUUUUUUUUUAUUAGAGAACGUGAGGAACGUGAGGAGCUAACCACGUCGAAAUCAAAAUAACACAAUACUAAAUCAAUUUCAUUGGGCGAAGCAACCUCUUAACUACUGUUCUUUCUGGGAAUCAAGAUUUUAAAAGUCAAGAUAUCCUCGAAUUCUUGGAUAAGAUCAACAGUAUUGGUCAUCACCCUUCCGUGUAUGCUUUUCUCAUCUAUGUUUCUAGUAACCUCAUUUUCGUUCCUCUGUUAUGACAAACUGUUCUGGAAAUAAUAAUCAUUUGACCACAUGAUUAAAAAUCACUAAUGCAUUGCCAUAUAAAGUAAUCUGUCACCAUCUUACCUUCAUUUGAUAAUUACAUUUUAUUUCCUAACCAUUCUAAUUUGUAAUUCAAUUUAACUAAUGAGUAUUCAAUGGACACUCGUUAAAAGAAAUUCGUAUUAGUUUUUUUAAAAAAAUAUAGUUUAUUUGUAAAAGUAUAGCAAUUCGAGAUGUGCAAUAUAAGUGUGUAUGCGUAUUUAUAUAGCAAUUUAGGUGUGGUCAUUAGCAAAAUUUUUCCUAAUUAAGCCUUUACUUAGUAACUGGCAUUUCUAGCCAAAUAUAGAUUGCGUGCCAUUAAAAAAUUCUUCAAAGGGCGGUGUGUCUUUUCACACUGACCUUAUCAAAGACGCGUCCCAUGCUGGUCGGCCGUGACUUUGGUGAUUAGGUCCGACAAGUAAUGAAUUUACUUAUGGGGUACGUCACCACAUUUUUAGGCCUAUAAAUACGAGGACUCUGGUUCGUUAUUUUGAUAUGCUAAACUCAGCAAACAGGUUUUCGACAGUCACAACCAGUUACAAGUAUCCAUUUUCGUUCAUAUUAAUUAGCUAGCUAGUUCUCCAAGGGAAAAAAUGGCUGAAGCCAAAUCUGCUACUGUCACUGAUCAGGUGAAUAGUGAUUCUAUUGCCUAGCCAGAGCUAGAUUUCCUUCUUUUUCAAGUUUGUGUGUGGUUUUGAGAAUCAACUCAUAAACAACUUGUAUUUGGAAAAGUAUGAGGAGUUGCAAGUUAAAGUAAUUUCAACGAUCUUGAAUUGUCUUAUUAACUGAUCGGAUUUAGUCUUCUUCUGAUUGUUUGUUUAUUUGAAGGGAUUCUAAUUGAUUUUGGGAACUCAAUUGUUUUGCGAUUUUCUUACUGGUUAAAAUGUUUGGGAUUUACAGAUCGACAUCAACUCAAUACAACCAGUGGCGCCGGCUGACCCUCACGUGGUCGGGAUCGGACAAUUUGUAGUGGAAAAAUUUCACCACGGCAAGCUGCAUUUCAUCGCCGUGAUUGGCGGAUUCACUUGGAAUUGUGAAGGAGGCAAGUACUACGCACUUAUCAUUCAAAAUCAGGAUUAUGAGGGCGCCACAUUUAUCCAUAAAGCACUCGUUGUUGAGGCCAAAGGUGAAACGAAACUCCUCUGGCACAGGAAUUAAUCAAGCACUACUAUUGAUCAGCUGAGGAUAAAGGACUUUCUUUGGGUACUUAAAUUAUCUAGUGUCUAUGGUGU